AUUCGAUUAGAGUUUGAUCAUGGCUCAGAACGUACGCUGGCGGCACGCCUAACACACGCAAGUCGAACGAAGUAGCAAUACUUAGUGGCAGACGGGUGAGUAACAUGUAGGUAUCUACCCUUUGGCCUGGAAUAACACGAGGAAACUUGUGCUAAUACCGGAUAAGUCUUUACGGAGAAAGCUUUAUGCACCAUUGGAUGAGCCUGCACUUGAUUAGUUUGUUGGUGGGGUAAUGGCCUACCAAGACUGUGAUCAAUAGCUGAUUUGAGAGGAUGAUCAGCCACAUUGGGACUGAGACACGGCCCAAACUCCUACGGGAGGCAGCAGUGGGGAAUCUUGCACAAUGGAGGAAACUCUGAUGCAGCGAUGCCGCGUGAGUGAAGAAGGCCCUUGGGUUGUAAAGCUCUUUCGUCGGGGAAGAAAAUGACUGUACCCGAAUAAGAAGGUCCGGCUAACUUCGUGCCAGCAGCCGCGGUAAUACGAAGGGACCUAGCGUAGUUCGGAAUUACUGGGCUUAAAGAGUUCGUAGGUGGUUGAAAAAGUUAGUGGUGAAAUCCCAGAGCUUAACUCUGGAACUGCCAUUAAAACUUUUCAGCUAGAGUAUGAUAGAGGAAAGCAGAAUUUCUAGUGUAGAGGUGAAAUUCGUAGAUAUUAGAAAGAAUACCAAUUGCGAAGGCAGCUUUCUGGAUCAUUACUGACACUGAGGAACGAAAGCAUGGGUAGCGAAGAGGAUUAGAUACCCUCGUAGUCCAUGCCGUAAACGAUGUGUGUUAGACGUUGGAAAUUUAUUUUCAGUGUCGCAGCGAAAGCGAUAAACACACCGCCUGGGGAGUACGACCGCAAGGUUAAAACUCAAAUGAAUUGACGGGGACCCGCACAAGUAGUGGAGCAUGUGGUUUAAUUCGAAGAUACGCGCAGAACCUUACCAACACUUGACAUGUUCGUCGCGACUCUAAGAGAUUAGAGUUUUCGGUUCGGCCGGACGAAACACAGGUGCUGCAUGGCUGUCGUCAGCUCGUGUCGUGAGAUGUUGGGUUAAGUCCCGCAACGAGCGCAACCCUCACUUUUAGUUGCCAUCAUUAAGUUGGGCACUCUGAAAGAACUGCCAGUGAUAAGCUGGAGGAAGGUGGGGAUGACGUCAAGUCCUCAUGGCCCUUACGUGUUGGGCUACACACGUGCUACAAUGGUAUCUACAACAGGAAGCAAGACUGCGAGGUCAAGCAAAUCCUUAAAAGAUACCUCAGUUCGGAUUGCACUCUGCAACUCGAGUGCAUGAAGCUGGAAUUACUAGUAAUCGUGGAUCAGCGUGCCACGGUGAAUGCGUUCCCGGGUCUUGUAGA
rnacentral:rRNA from 1 species